rnacentral:rRNA from 1 species
AGCAGCAGCCAUAUCACUCUGUAACUGACAGCUGGCAGCCCCACUGGAGGUCAGCAGGUGUGAGCCUGGCCAGUACCUGGAUAGGAGACCUCCGGGGAAAAACUAAGGUUGCUGCUGGAA